rnacentral:rRNA from 1 species
AUUGAACGCUGGCGGCAUGCUUUACACAUGCAAGUCGAACGGUAACAGGCCGCAAGGUGCUGACGAGUGGCGAACGGGUGCGUAAUGCAUCGGAACGUGCCCAGUCGUGGGGGAUAACUACUCGAAAGAGUAGCUAAUACCUCAUACGAUCUAUGGAUGAAAACGGGGGACCGUAAGGCCUCGCGCGAUUGGAGCGGCCGAUGUCAGAUUAGGUAGUUGGUGGGGUAAAGGCUCACCAAGCCAACGAUCUGUAGCUGGUCUGAGAGGACGACCAGCCACACUGGAACUGAGACACGGCCCAGACUCCUACGGGAGGCAGCAGUGGGGAAUUUUGGACAAUGGGCGCAAGCCUGAUCCAGCAAUGCCGCGUGCAGGAAGAAGGCCUUCGGGUUGUAAACUGCUUUUGUACGGAACGAAACGGCUCUGGUUAAUACCCGGGGCUAAUGACGGUACCGUAAGAAUAAGCACCGGCUAACUACGUG